rnacentral:rRNA from 1 species
CCUACGGGGGACAGCAGUGGGGGAUAUUGCACAAUGGGGGAAACCCUGAUGCAGCGACGCCGCGUGGGUGAAGAAGCGCCUCGGCGCGUAAAGCCCUGUCAGCAGGGAAGAAAAUGACGGUACCUGAAGAAGAAGCCCCGGCUAACUACGUGCCAACAGCCGCGGUAAUACGUAGGGGGCAAGCGUUAUCCGGAUUUACUGGGUGUAAAGGGGGCGCAGACGGCGAUGCAAGCCAGGAGUGAAAGCCCGGGGCCCAACCCCGGGACUGCUCUUGGAACUGCGUGGCUAGAGUGCAGGAGGGGCAGGCGGAAUGCCUGGUGUAGCGGUGAAAUGCGUAGAUAUCAGGAGGAACACCGGUGGCGAAGGCGGCCUGCUGGACUGCAACUGACGUUGAGGCCCGAAAGCGUGGGGAGCAAACAGGAUUAGAUACCCCGGUAGUC